rnacentral:lncRNA from 1 species
AGGGGAAAAAUAUACAUGGACCUAAUUGCAACACACUGUAGUGGCCCAAGGCUGUAAUCAGCCCAAGUAACUAGGUGUGUGUGCAAAACGAGAGGGAAACACAAAUAUAACAUGACAAGGAAAAAAUAAGGAAGACUCUGGGUUUCGACCGCCAGACCCCUCGGCGUUUCUCAAUAUCCCCUACAUGGCAGAAUGGUUCUAGGAAAAUAUACAAAAAAGAGUAAAAGAGUAAAAUGUUAACAUAAUUAAACCGACUAGCAUCGCCUCACACAAAACGAGGCACACAAAACGAGGCAAACAGCAAAGUUAACAGUUUUAAAUAUGCAUGAAAGUUGAAAAAUAUUAAUCUACACAAAAUUCUACAUGUUCUACAUAUAUAACUUAUUUCGAUCCGACGCGCGGUUUUAAAGAUAUAAGCGUUUUAAAAUCAAUGUUUUUUUUAAAUUAGUAAAUUUACAGGAGGGGAAAAAUAUACAUGGACCUAAUUGCAACACAGUGUAGUGGCCCAAGGCUGUAAUCAGCCCAAGUAACNNNNNNNNNNGUUUUUUUAAAAUUAGUAAAUUUGCAGGAGGGGUAAAAUAUACAUGGACCGAAUUGCAACACAGUGUAGUGGCCCAAGGCUGUAAUCAGCCCAAGUAACUAAGUGUGUGUGCAAAACGAGAGGGAAACACAAAUAUAACAUGACAAGGAAAAAAUAAGGGAGACUCUGGGUUUCGACCGCCAGACCCCUCGGCGUUUCUCAAUAUCCCCUACAUGGCAGAAUGGUUCUAGGAAAAUAUACAAAAAAGAGUAAAAGAGUUAAAUGUUAACAUAAUUAAACCGACUAGCAUCGCCUCACACAAAAUGAGGAAAACAGCAAAGUUAACAGUUUUAAAUAUGCAUGAAAGUUGAAAAAUAU